CAGCAGCCGCGGGAAUACGUAGGGUGCAAGCGUUAAUCGGAAUUACUGGGCGUAAAGCGUGCGCAGGCGGUUUUGUAAGACAGAGGUGAAAUCCCCGGGCUCAACCUGGGAACUGCCUUUGUGACUGCAAGGCUAGAGUACGGCAGAGGGGGAUGGAAUUCCGCGUGUAGCAGUGAAAUGCGUAGAUAUGCGGAGGAACACCGAUGGCGAAGGCAAUCCCCUGGGCCUGUACUGACGCUCAUGCACGAAAGCGUGGGGAGCAAACAGGAUUAGAUACCCUGUAGUCCCUGUCUCUUAUACA
rnacentral:rRNA from 1 species